rnacentral:ncRNA from 1 species
UCAAUGAAACUGAAAGUUUUCUGUGUUCGUACAGAAAAUGAACUGAUUGAUCUUCUGUAAUGCUAUUAUGAGGAUCACCCUUUGAGGUUUAUAGCAAUAGGUCGCCCUAUGAUCAGUUACAUGCUUUUGUUGA